GGAAGAAGCCACAAGUGACGGUACCUGCAGAAGAAGCGCCGGCUAACUACGUGCCAGCAGCCGCGGUAAUACGUAGGGCGCAAGCGUUGUCCGGAAUUAUUGGGCGUAAAGAGCUCGUAGGCGGUUUGUCGCGUCUGCUGUGAAAGCCCGGGGCUCAACCCCGGGUCUGCAGUGGGUACGGGCAGACUAGAGUGCAGUAGGGGAGACUGGAAUUCCUGGUGUAGCGGUGAAAUGCGCAGAUAUCAGGAGGAACACCGAUGGCGAAGGCAGGUCUCUGGGCUGUUACUGACGCUGAGGAGCGAAAGCAUGGGGAGCGAACAGGAUUAGAUACCCUGGUAGUCCAUGCCGUAAACGUUGGGCACUAGGUGUGGGGGACAUUCCACGUUCUCCGCGCCGUAGCUAACGCAUUAAGUGCCCCGCCUGGGGAGUACGGCCGCAAGGCUAAAACUCAAAGGAAUUGACGGGGGCCCGCACAAGCGGCGGAGCAUGCGGAUUAAUUCGAUGCAACGCGAAGAACCUUACCAAGGCUUGACAUCCACCGGACCGCACUGGAGACAGUGCUUCCCUUCGGGGCUGGUGGACAGGUGGUGCAUGGUUGUCGUCAGCUCGUGUCGUGAGAUGUUGGGUUAAGUCCCGCAACGAGCGCAACCCUCGUUCUAUGUUGCCAGCACGUGAUGGUGGGGACUCAUAGGAGACUGCCGGGGUCAACUCGGAGGAAGGUGGGGAUGACGUCAAAUCAUCAUGCCCCUUAUGUCUUGGGCUUCACGCAUGCUACAAUGGCCGGUACAAAGGGUUGCGAUACUGUGAGGUGGAGCUAAUCCCAAAAAGCCGGUCUCAGUUCGGA
rnacentral:rRNA from 1 species